CGAGCUGAAGCUCUGAACUUCUUAAGACCCCAUCUUAGAUUCAAAAGCAAACCCUGGUCUCUUCUUCAAUUGACUUCUUCUUAAUCAAGAGCAUAAAGUCAUCAAAAUCAGCUUCAGAUACCCUAUCACAAAAUCGAUUGAACCACAACAACCCUAGUUCGAUAAACAGUUGGAAGCAUUGAUCUGAGCUUUUAGGUCAUCUGUGACAUUUGGAAGCAUCGAUCUGAUAAUCAGAUAAUUCAUCUGGUAAUGAAUUGCCCUGUUAUUGUCCCCGUGAGGAUGAAAGAUGUGGUCGAAUCGUGA